UGUGCGGAGGUGUCUUAUGGGCUACACUGGC
rnacentral:piRNA from 1 species